rnacentral:rRNA from 1 species
AUUGAACGCUGGCGGAAUGCUUUACACAUGCAAGUCGAACGGCAGCACGGGUGCUUGCACCUGGUGGCGAGUGGCGAACGGGUGAGUAAUACAUCGGAACGUACCCAGUUGUGGGGGAUAACUAACCGAAAGGUUAGCUAAUACCGCAUACGACCUGAGGGUGAAAGCGGGGGACCGUAAGGCCUCGCGCCAUUGGAGCGGCCGAUGUCUGAUUAGCUAGUUGGUGAGGUAAAGGCUCGCCAAGGGGACGAUCAGUAGCAGGUCUGAGAGGAUGAUCUGCCACACUGGAACUGAGACACGGUCCAGACUCCUACGGGAGGCAGCAGUGGGGAAUUUUGGACAAUGGGCGAAAGCCUGAUCCAGCCAUUCCGCGUGAGUGAAGAAGGCCUUCGGGUUGUAAAGCUCUUUCGGCAGGGAAGAAACGCUCUGGAAUAAUACUCCGGGGUAAUGACGGUACCUGAAGAAGAAGCACCGGCUAACUACGUGCCAGCCGCCGCCGUAAGAC